rnacentral:lncRNA from 1 species
GCGGUUGGGGGAAUGGAGAUCGGCGAAGAUUUGAGAAAUUCGGGUGACCCGGUUUUUCUUCUUGUUCCAUGGAAACGGCAUGGUUUUGGUGAGUUUAAGGAUAGGAAAGGAACAUGGAUUGGAUUAUUAUUAUUAUAAGAUGAAAAUUCUAGAGAAGAAGAAGGUAACGCAUUCCACGGUUGUUGAGUGUGUUGAAAACUAGGGAAUUUGGAUGGAGUGGAUGAGUGAAAAGUUUGGUGUAUUUGGUAUGGUAGUGGUGGCAUGCACAAAAUUAGUUUCUUUUAUGCCAUUCAUGUGCUUAUAUAGUGUGUAUGAUUUGGGAGUUGUUUAACUACACCAUACAUGGUGAGGUAUAAAACAAUUAGUACCACCUUGAAAUUGUAAGAUUUUCUAUGAUUUUUGUUAG